GAUGAAGAACGCAGCGAAAUGCGAUAAGUAAUGUGAAUUGCAGAAUUCAGUGAAUCAUCGAAUCUUUGAACGCACAUUGCGCCCUCUGGUAUUCCGGGGGGCAUGCCUGUUCGAGCGUCAUUUCACCACUCAAGCCUCGCUUGGUAUUGGGCAACGCGGUCCGCCGCGUGCCUCAAAUCGACCGGCUGGGUCUUCUGUCCCCUAAGCGUUGUGGAAACUAUUCGCUAAAGGGUGUUCGGGAGGCUACGCCGUAAAACAACCCCAUUUCUAAGGUUGACCUCGGAUCAGGUAGGGAUACCCGCUGAACUUAAGCAUAUCAAUAAGCGGAGGA
rnacentral:misc_RNA from 1 species